rnacentral:misc_RNA from 1 species
GUACUCUCACACUCUCCAAUUCGGAUUCGGAUUGGGGAGCGGUGGACUUGGGUGUUGCUGCUUUGCUGUGGCUCACCUCAAAUGUGUUAGUGCAACUCCUGGUUGGACAUAGUACGGCGUGAUAAGUAUCUUCGCCGGCACCUCAGAAGAGGGUGGCUAAUCGGGAGCUCUGUGCUGCAAACCGUCUUUGGACAAUAUCUGACA